rnacentral:rRNA from 1 species
UUCUGUUUGUAAGAGUCGAAGCUUUACAGCUAAGAUUUCUUCGAACAUCUGUUUGCAAGCAUACGUUCGGCCUUCACUGGUUGGCUAUGUAAGCAAGCGUUUUACUUUGAGAAAAUUAGAGUGUUUAAAGCAGCCUCUUGGGGCACUGAAUACAUUAGCAUGGGAUAAUAAAAUAGGAUCUUCACAAUAUAUUUUUAUUGGUUUUAAAAUUGCGUAUGAAGAUAAUGAUUAAUAGGGACAGUUGGGGGUAUUCAUAUUGGGUGGUUAGCGGUGAAAUGCUCGGAUCCAUUCAAGAUGAACUAAAGCGAAAGCAUUUACCAAGGAUGUUUUCAUUAAUCAAGAACGAAAGUUAAGGGAUCGAAGACGAUUAGAUACCGUCGUAGUCUUAACUAUAAACUAUGCCGACCAGGGAUAUGAGUUGUUAGGAUA